rnacentral:lncRNA from 1 species
GCAGCACAGAUUCAGAAUAGCUGCAGAGAUUGGCACUGGCCUACUUUUUCUCCACCAAACCAAGCCAGAACCACUUGUGCAUCGUGACCUAAAACCUGGCAACAUUUUGCUUGACCGUAACUAUGUCAGCAAGAUCAGCGAUGUUGGCUUAGCCAGGCUUGUCCCUCCAUCAGUAGCCAAUGCGGUAACUCAGUAUCGCAUGACAUCAACAGCUGGGACUUUCUGUUACAUAGAUCCAGAAUAUCAACAAACUGGCAUGCUUGGAAUAAAAUCUGAUAUUUACUCACUUGGGGUCUUGCUUCUUCAAAUAAUAACGGCAAAGCCCCCAAUGGGUUUGACUCAUCUUGUGGAACGGGCUAUUGAGAGAGGGAACUUUGCAGAGACGCUUGAUCCAGCAAUUCCCGAUUGGCCAGUUGAACAUGCCUUAGCAUUCGCAAAGUUAGCUCUUAAGUGCGCAGAAUUGAGAAGAAAGGACAGACCUGAUCUAGGUACCGUAGUUUUACCUGAACUUAAUAGACUGAGAGCACUGGCUGAGGAUGCAAUGCCCAGCAUGGCACAAUCAAGCAGCUCAGGAGGGUCAUCAGGCAGCAGUCACAGUUCAAGCACAAGUCAGGUGAGAAGGUGUACUUUGUAAUCAUUCCGCCUACUGCUU